GAGCAUCAAUACAGAAAAGGGGGAGCCCGCUGGCCCAAUGGCAGCGUCCUAGAGUGUAGGCCCCGCCUCCCGAUUGACCGGCCUGCUUGGCAAGGCAAGCAGCGGCGGCGCUUCAAGAUGCGCUGCCUGACCACGCCUAUGCUGCUGCGGGCCCUGGCCCAGGCUGCACGUGCAGGUAGGACCAAAGAAGCCUUUGCUGGGGGUAGGGGAGCCCAGUCUCCUGGCAUGAGGUCACCCCCCUCUUUUUGCAGGACCUCCUUGUGGCCGGAGCCUCCACAGCAGUGCAGUGGCAGCCACCUACAAGUAUGUGAACAUGCAGGAGCCCGAGAUGGACAUGAAGUCAGUGACUGACCGGGCAGCCCGCACCCUGCUGUUGACUGAGCUCUUCCGAGGCCUGGGCAUGACCCUGAGCUACCUGUUCCGGGAACCGGCCACCAUCAACUACCCGUUCGAGAAGGGCCCGCUGAGCCCUCGCUUCCGUGGGGAGCAUGCACUGCGCCGGUACCCAUCCGGAGAGGAGCGUUGCAUUGCCUGCAAACUCUGCGAGGCCAUCUGCCCCGCCCAGGUGAACCCCUGCCCCAACCAGCCACCAUGCCAGCCCCUGCCACUGGGAGAGGGAGGCCAGGCAGCCCUAGGCCCAAACCCUAGCCCCUGCUUGAUGUGCGUCCCCAGGGAAGUCCCUUUCACUCUGAGCCACUUCCCUCGUGAAUGGGAAUGAUAAGGCCUUGUUACCAGAGUGCAGAGUCAGUGAGUUGGCAGAGUGAAGCUUCCAGCCCUGGCCAGGCGCCUGACACACAGAGGUUCCCCCUUGGGGUCUGGCCAGGGGUGUGACCCCUGGGCCUCUGAGCCAUGGGGUGGCACCUGAGGCUGUCCACGCCUCCCUGGAUGUAGCCACCAUUUCCGGGGUCCUGCUUGUGUGCCUGUUGCAGAUUCCCUUCCCCAGUGGCUGCUCCCCUGAGGCCCGGCUUUCCAUUCUCUUAGUGGGUCUCGUGCUUACCAGCGGGGGCCAGG
rnacentral:sRNA from 1 species